rnacentral:rRNA from 1 species
GAUGAACGCUAGCGGCAGGCCUAACACAUGCAAGUCGAGGGGCAGCACAGAAACAGCAAUGUUUUGGUGGCGACCGGCGGACGGGUGCGUAACGCGUAUGCAACCUACCUUUAACAGGGGGAUAACGGAGAGAAAUUUCCACUAAUACCCCAUAACAUCGAUCAAGGCAUCUUGAUUGGUUGAAAACUCCGGUGGUUAAAGAUGGGCAUGCGUUGUAUUAGGUAGUUGGUGAGGUAAUGGCUCACCAAGCCUACGAUACAUAGGGGGACUGAUAGGUUGGCCCCCCACACUGGUACUGAGACACGGACCAGACUCCUACGGGAGGCAGCAGUGAGGAAUAUUGGUCAAUGGGGGCAACCCUGAACCAGCCAUGCCGCGUGCAGGAAGACGGCUCUAUGAGUUGUAAACUGCUUUUAAACAGGGAUAAAGCACAGUAUGUAUACUGUGUUGAAGGUACUGUAAGAAUAAGGAUCGGCUAACUCCGUGCCAGCCGCCGCUGUAA